UACAGAGGGCCCGAGCGUUGUUCGGAUUCAUUGGGCGUAAAGGGUGCGUAGGCGGCGAGCUAAGUUUGGUGUGAAAUCCUGGGGCUUAACCUCAGAAUUGCACUGAAUACUGGUUUGCUAGAGGACUGGAGAGGAGAUUGGAAUUCACGGUGUAGCAGUGAAAUGCGUAGAUAUCGUGAGGAAGACCAGUGGCGAAAGCGAAUCUCUGGACAGAUCCUGACGCUGAUGCACGAAGGCUAGGGGAGCAAACGGG
rnacentral:rRNA from 1 species